rnacentral:misc_RNA from 1 species
UCCGGCUUAUCACCGGCGGUUUCUUUAGAGUGCCCAACUAAAUGAUGGCAACUAAAGACGAGGGUUGCGCUCGUUGCGGGACUUAACCCAACAUCUCACGACACGAGCUGACGACAGCCAUGCAGCACCUGUGUUACGGCUCUCUUUCGAGCACCCCCUGAUCUCUCAAGGGUUCCGUACAUGUCAAGGGUAGGUAAGGUUUUUCGCGUUGCAUCGAAUUAAUCCACAUCAUCCACCGCUUGUGCGGGUCCCCGUCAAUUCCUUUGAGUUUUAAUCUUGCGACCGUACUCCCCAGGCGGUCUACUUCACGCGUUAGCUGCGUUACCAAGUUAAUUAAAACCCGACAACUAGUAGACAUCGUUUAGGGCGUGGACUAC